CAGUAGCCGCGGGAAUACGUAGGUGGCAAGCGUUGUCCGGGAUUAUUGGGCGUAAAGGGCUCGCAGGCGGUUUCUUAAGUCUGAUGUGAAAGCCCCCGGCUCAACCGGGGAGGGUCAUUGGAAACUGGGAAACUUGAGUGCAGAAGAGGAGAGUGGAAUUCCACGUGUAGCGGUGAAAUGCGUAGAGAUGUGGAGGAACACCGGUGGCGAAGGCGACUCUCUGGUCUGUAACUGACGCUGAGGAGCGAAAGCGUGGGGAGCGAACAGGAUUAGAUACCCCCGUAGUCCCUGUCUCUUAUAA
rnacentral:rRNA from 1 species